rnacentral:rRNA from 1 species
UUGGAGGGCAGUCUGGUGCCAGCAGCCGCGGUAAUUCCAGCUCCAAUAGCGUAUAUUAAAGUUGUUGCAGUUAAAAAGCUCGUAGUUGAAUUUCGGGAUCAAAUUGUCGGUCGUGCCUCGGUACGCACUGGUAUUAUUGGUUCCUCCCUUCUGAAGAACUGCGAUGUCAUUAAUUUGGUGUCGUGGGAAAUCAGGACUGUUACUUUGAAAAAAUUAGAGUGUUUAAAGCAAGCGCACGCUUGAAUACAUUAGCAUGGAAUAAUGAAAUAGGACGUUUGAUUCUAUUUUGUUGGUUUCUAGGAUUGACGUAAUGAUUAAUAGGGAUAGUUGGGGGCAUUAGUAUUCAAUUGUCAGAGGUGAAAUUCUUGGAUUUAUUGAAGACUAACUACUGCGAAAGCAUUUGCCAAGGAUGUUUUCAUUAAUCAAGAACGAAAGUUAGGCGAUCGAAGACGAUCAGAUACCGUCGUAGUCUUAACCAUAAACUAUGCCGACUAGGGAUCGGAUGAUGUUAAUUUUUUAAUGACUCAUUCGGCGCCUUACGGGAAAC